UACGGGGGGUGCGAGCGUUAAUCGGAAUUACUGGGCGUAAAGGGUGUGUAGGUGGUUAUUUAAGUUAGUUGUGAAAGGCCUGGGCUCAACCUGGGUAUGUCAACUAAGACUGGAUGACUUGAGUAUAGGAGAGGGUAGUGGAAUUUCCGGUGUAGCGGUGAAAUGCGUAGAGAUCGGAAGGAACACCGGUGGCGAAGGCGGCUACCUGGCCUAAUACUGACACUGAGGCACGAAAGCGUGGGGAGCAAACAGG
rnacentral:rRNA from 1 species